UAUCUAUCUUAUCUGUCUAUCUGUCUGUCUGUUUGUUUAUCUUAUCUGUCUAUUUAUUUAUCUGUCUGUCUGUCUAUCUAUCUAUCUAGCUAUCUUAUCUGUCUGUCUGUCUGUCUAUUUAUCUAUCUUCUGUCUGUCUGAUCUGUCUGAUCUGUCUAUCUUAUCCGUCAAAUGUAAAUAAUUAAAAUUUGUUUUUAAUGUCUUAUACCAAUGUUUUUCAACCCUUUUUUCACCUGUGGAUCCCUUUGAUUCUUAUUCUAUUCUCCUGGGCCCCCAGGUAGCCAUUUGAAGAUUUAAAUAAUCCCAUUAUCCGCUUGUUUGUUUGCCUGUUAUACUUUAGUCAGUUAGAGAGAUGGAGUAAAAGUAAGAGAGAGAGAGAGAGAGAGAGAGUGGGAGGAAUGUGAGUAGAGAAGAAAGAAGUGAGGAGUAUAAUAAUACAAAUGUAUCAUGUGGUUAGCUGAAGGGAGAGGCAAAGAGUGAAAGACAAAGACGGUGAGAGAAAAGUGGGAGAGAGAAGUGUUAAUGACAUGCUGUAAGGUGGGAAGGGAAAGGUGAAGAGAAAGACAGAAAUGUUAAAGACAUGAAGCAGGAAAUUAAAAUCUCACCUUUUUCCUUUUAACUAGUUUCAGUCAUUAGGCUGCGGCCAUGCUGGGGUACCCACCUUGAAUUUUUAGUCGAAUGAAUCGACCCCCAGUACUUAUGUAUUUAAGCCUUGUACUUAUUCUAUUGGUCUUUUUUGCUGAACCGCGAAGUUACGGGGGGACGUAAACACAUCGACACCGGUUGUCAAGCUGAGAUGAGGGGACGAACACAGAUACAAAGACAUACACACACACACACACACACACACGUAUUAUAUAAACCUUAUUGUCUACAUAUUAACCUCUUGGUUAACCUUCAGUUUUUUAUGCUCUAAGCUUUCUCAUCUUUUAAUCCAUUCUCAUCUUUUAAUCCUUUCUGAGUAAUUAACCCCCCUUGUGACCCCCUCAACUUUCCAUGUUCUCAACUCUCUUUUCUCAUGUUAACCCAUCUUAACUGUAACCCUGCUUUUCUCACUGUUUACUCAACUCCUAAUCUAUGCACCCUUUGUAAUUAAAGACCCCGAGUUAACCCUUUAACAUCACUCAGCUACUGUAACAUGUAGCAUAGCUAAUAUUACUUGUAAACUCUGUUUGAUUGCUGUGUGUUUACCCUCUGCCAGCCUUUAGCUUUCUAGCUAUAAACCCUGUUUUCUGUGGGUUAACCCUUUUAAACCUCUCAGCUGUCUACUGUAUAUAACCUUUCUCACGAUUUUCAGUUAGUUUUAACCCUGUAACUCUGUUAUCUGUAUAUUAAUUCUUUCACAUCUCUCAGCUAACCCAUGUGGCUUUUCUAUCAUUAAACCUCACCAAAUAUUACCUUCCUAUCUAUAAAACCCAUGUUUGUUUUCUGUGUUAACCCUCUGCUAGUCUCCAGCUUUCUAACUAUCAACCCUAAUUUUUGUGGGUUAACCAUUUCACUUUUCACUGCUUCCUUUACCUGCAUUUUGUUUAAACUGCUAAAGCUGUCAUCAAUUCAUUAAACCUCAUUUCUCACCUCUUUGUCCCUCCUCUUAUUUUUGUUUUUAAUUUGAAAUACAAGAUCUGAAAUUUGUUUUAUAAAACAAAAUUAAUAACAGAAGAGGCAGAGGUAUUGAUAAAAUUGGUUUUUGAAGUUGUACUAGAAUUAUAUCAAAUAGAAGAAAUAUCAAAUAAAAAUUAUUAUUAUUAAGUAAAAUUUAAAAAAUUUUCAUAAUUUUAUUAAUCAAACAAAAAACUUAAGUUUAAUUUUUUAAAAUUGUUUCCAUUUUUUUUUUCCUUAUAUUAUCAAGCAUUAUUAAGACUGUAUUUGACCAGCUUGUUACCAUAUUUCUGUUGAAGUACACUACUGUUGUUUAAAUCAUUUUUCCAAAAUGAUGAAGAAUUUAAUCCUUUCGUUACUGUAUUUCUGUUGAGAUGCUCUGUGUUUCUUUCAAUUAAUUUCGAAUAAACUUAGUAAAAUAACUUAGUUAUUAGCUAGUGUUAGGAACAUAAAUUGUGACUAAGGUUUGAUGGAAGAUUUGAAUUUAGAACAUUUGAAAACAAGACAUUUGUACUACAGAACCAAAAGCAGUUUCAACCAGGUUGGUAUCAAAAGGAUUAAAAAUAUCAUGGUGACUUUAACCCUUUUGUUACCAUAUUUCUGUUGAGAAGCUCUGUGUUUCUUUCAAUUAAUUUUAAAUAUAACAAAGAAUUUAGUAAAAUAACUUAGUUAUCAUUAAGCUAGUGUUAGGAACAUAAACUGUGACUAAGGUUUGGUGGAAGAUUUUAAUUCAAAACUUAUGAAAACAAGAUAUUUGUACUACAGAGUCAGAGGUGGUUUCAACCAAGUUGGUAUCAAAAGGGUUAAAAAUAUCAUGGUGACUUUAACUCUUUUGUUAGCAUAUUUCUGUUGAGAAAGGAUUAUCAAGCUGGUUUUUGGAACAUAAAAGAAACUUUGAUGGAAGGUUUUAAUUUAGAUUACUUUAAUCCUUUAGUUACCAUAUUUCUGUUGAAAUUGCUGCCUUUUUUUCCAUUAGUUUUAGAGAUUAUGAAGAAUUUAGGAAUAUAACCCCAUCAUUAUUGAGCUGGUUUUCGGAACAUAACAUGAAAUUUUGGUGAAAGUUUUACAUUUAGAUCACUCUAACCUUUUAGUUACCAUAUUUCUGUUGAAAUACACAACUUUAGUCUUGAUUAAUUUCGAAGAUAAUGAACAAUUUAGUAUUAGUACCUUAGAUAUUAUUAAAAUGGUGUUUAAAAAAUAUCCAAGAAUAAUUCUAUUGAAACAUUAUCUAGAACCGAUAACACCAUACAAAAGCAUUAAGCUUUAUUAUCUGAGAUAUUAUUUGGAAUUUAUCUGAUUAUUUUUAAGAAUAGCAACAUUAUUUGAACAAAUAUAUAAUUGUCUUUUCUUUUUUUUUCUUUAUCUUUUUUUAUUUUUGGUUCUCUAUAUUCGUUUUGGGCUGUGCCUUGAAAGGUCCAAUUACAUGGACAACGAAGAGACUGUGAAUCUUCCCCGAGAGUCCAAGAGACAGAAAUUGCAUGAUGAUUCCAUAGCAGACAGUUCUGCAUCGACUCCACCACCACCACCUUUGAUUCCAAUGAGAACUCCAAAGAGCAAAAAGGCAAAAUCCAAAUCUGGUCAGUCAUUCUCUCGUCAGUCUGCUGCUGCAGCUAAAAAAUCCGACAAGUGAAUCCGAAAGAUCCCAGGUUGAUAAUGGACGAAUGAGUUAACGAACUGACAAGGGGGAUCCCUAAGACAACGCCAUCCAGAUAUCGGAUUGCAAAGGAGUGCAGGGUGGGUGGGGAGAUUAGGGAUCUUGUGUGAAAGAUUUGGUGUGAAAUCCUGUUGUGAGGACAGUGAACAAAAGAAAGAAAGAAAGAAAGAAAGAAAGGAGAGUGGAUCAGACAACCACAAGGUUUCAUUGAAGAAGAAAUAACAAGGGAUUUUAGUGAAUGAAGAAUGAAUGAGCAAUCUGCUUGAAGAAUGACUGGAACCAUUCUAUGUGUCCAUAUAUGGUGUUUUGGAAAUAAAAGUAUAUUUGUUGUUGA